rnacentral:lncRNA from 1 species
ACUGGUUGCAGCUGGGGCUCCAGCAGGAAAAGGAAGUUGUUCAUCAUCGUGUGUGCAUUUCAUUAACAAUAGUGUACCCGAUAUGUAGCUUAUAGAAUAAUUUCAAAUCACUGACAGAGAGCAUUAUGGCAUUUGGCACUACUAGGAAAAAUACUUCAGGAUGGGCAAAUUAAACCUGAGCGUGAGGUUUCCAUGCGACCCUCUGGAACUGUGCAUGCUGAUUUACACUAGCUGCUUGGAAGAUUUGAAGCAUGAGAAGCAAACAGCAGAGAGAGUUGAUGUCCAGCACAGUACAGCACCCUGCAAGCCCAGAGGGUGAGUACCCACACUUCCUGACCGUCGUCUUGCCUCCCAGGGGGACUUGGACAAGAAUCUCCUAGCACCUCCAACUCAGUGGGGGACACUGCAGAGCAUAUGGAAGAGAGUGGCACCUGGACCCCUGUCCCAGUCUCCUCCAUUCACAACCAUUCAUAACUGGAAGGGAGCAGCAGGCCUCGUUCCUGGAAUCUAGGGCCACCCCUGCACGGGGACCCUCCCUGGAGUGAGUGGUGCUGCAGAAGUACUCUCCUAGCAGGGACGGUUUGAACCUUUCAUCACCGAAACCACAGUUCCUGAAUGGAGUAAAUUAAUUCUGUGGGUCUCAACUCACAGGUUGGAGCACCCUUGCCUCACAUAAAUGAAUCACAUUAGUUUUCCACACUUUGAUGGCUGACCACAUGCCCCUGUCCAGGCAGGCAGGAAAUGCCAUUGAUGUGGGAACCUAAAUGGGCUCUGAAUGGGUAGGGCCUUUGCAGGCCCCCACAGCUGGGUCACAGCUACAGCAGCCAGGUGCUGUUGGGAAGUGUUUGUUAGGUAAAUGAGGGAGCAGGUGAAGGAAGGUGUGAACAGUGACACAAAAAGCUUUCUUGGUGUCCUUAACAUGCUGGAUUUUUAGGCUCAUUCAUUUGUCAGAGAAGUCUCACCUCUGCUAUGAGGGUAGGUCAAAAUUGCAUCUGCUCCUGCAAGAAACAAACACAUGGAGGCGAAGGCUCAAAAAGGAAGAGGGCUCUUGGCUCCCAGCCCUGAUUUGCCUCUGGUAGCUGUCUGACGUGGGCAGGUGAGGGGGAGUCUUAGGUUUCUGUAGGUUGAGCUUGGUGACACCCACUCUGCCCAUCCCACUGGAGGUUGUAAGGUACACAAGACUGCUCCUGCAGAAAUGCUGCUGAGGAAACUGUCUUAGUUCUUCCUCUCUGUCCAUGGCUGACACAGGAAAACUGCUCAGUUCAUUCUUCUUGAAUGCAUAGGGACAUGAAUUAGCCCUAGUAGCAUGAUCAACCCUA